GAAACUAGAGAGAAGGAACUGAGAGUUGCAACCUAAAAACGCCCAGCUGAGGGAGAGAUUAUCAGGUUUGGUUACCAUGUUUUUCACGUAUAUUUUCAUUCUUCAUGCUUUUCUGUUAUCUCUUUUGUUGAUGCUAAGAUGAUAUUUGUUGCUUGGGAGUGAGCAUGUUGAUAUUUUGCUAAUGGUCUUUCUGUAGUUUGAUUUGCUCCUGUUUUGUUUUCUUCAUGAGAUAUUUCCGUAACAGUGUUCUAUCUUUUAUUCGAUACUCGUUUGAUUUCAUCCACCCUCAUAUGAGCUCAUUGACUAUCAUAUGAAAUGAGACAUUGUAUGGGUUUGUUUUGCCCCCAUUAUUGGUGUUUUGUUUGGUUGCUUUCCUCUGUUCCUAGUACUCCGUUCAUGAGGCAUGUCAGUUUCCUCACCUCUGCCUAAGGGAGUAAGGAACGUGUUCUCCGCUUGAAGGAUUACCUAAACCCAACCAAGGGACGUGAGGAUGCUACUUCAGGAUCUGGCACGGGAUAUUUCGGAUUUAAUAAUUUUACUGUUGAGGCGGCUCUCUCUGUUGGCGAUUUGAUAGUGGGAAUUUUGGAGUUUUCGUUGUAAAAAUGAAGGCCCAAUGAGAGGAGUGUGAGAACGUCCUCAGAGGAUUUUUGAACCUCAUCAAUCUGAAGGUGUAUAGUUGUCGUUCAAUAAUGGUGAAACUGGAUAAGUGACUGAGUACCAAGAGAUACUGCACAUUUGUUCAAAGUUGGAGUAUUCUGUGGCUUGCCACAACGAAUUACUUUCUGGUCACGACCGGGAGGGAAACACAGUGUGCAUGAAUGGAUCUUUUAUGAAAGAAGCUUUUCUAUUCAAUGGUGGCCCAGGCAUUGUGGGUAUUUAUUUUGGUUUCACUGGUUUUAGCAUCCCUGAGGCACUGAAACAAGAGAUUGGAAAUUGUAACAGCAAGCUACAAAGAAUAUUCCGAGGUACAGGAUCACAAAACAGUGGAUCCUGGGACAUACUCCUUCAUUGCAACUGGACUACAAUUCCCUCAUGAUGAAGUUGAUGAUUUACAGAAAUCACAAUCUAUUGGUUCUGUUGACUCUUAUGAACAAUGUGAAACUGAAGAAACAGUUACUAAAUCAAGAGAUGUUGGAACUUCAUAUCCGUGUCAACAGCCAUUACCCAUUCCACCCAUGAUGCCCAUUGUUUCCCUUCAUUACCCCAUCUGCUACAACUCACUCCCCUGAUCAUACUUAUUUUAUCCCUUUCUAUCACUACCUUCUGCCACUCGUUCAACUAAUCAAUACCCAUGUAUUCAUUAAAUCACUUCUCACUCAUCCCACUCACUACUUGUGCUAGCCAUUUCCUCAAACCGUCCCAUUAAACCCAUUCCUCUCUCCUACCAUUCUCUACCUCCAAUGUCAUGCUCUGUUACAUUCAUGAGCAUCUUCUCCCUCCAUUUCCUCUGUGAAACUCACAUCCUCAGAUAGUAUUCUCCGUAUCCAAUACAUCAAAGCAAACCCACCCAUCGAUCAUUCUGGAUGUUCGUCAAAAUCAUUAUCACAUUCUUCAUCUUCAUCUCACAUUUGACUCACCUAUCCAUCACAACAAGUGCCACAGCUGGCCCCAUCACCAAACCAACUUCCCUUAUCGCCUUCCGGGUUGUUAUUAUGUCUGUGAAUUAUCAACGUGCAUCUGAAAACCCAUACCCUUGUACCUAUGAUGAUGCUACCACUGCUCACAGUAUUGACAGAGAUAUGAUCAAUGUUGAUGAGAAAAACGUGUUACCAAUGCAGGGGAACAAUCCAGAUGAAAGACGGUAGCCACAAUCACCCGCGUCCAGGGAAAACACCGAAUAACUCAUCUGUAGGUAUUUCAGGGAAUUUACAACGUUUUUAAGGGUGCAAUUAUACAAAGAAUGAAUGCUGUUGGAGAUCCAACCAGAUUGGACGUUCUCUACAAGUGACAAAAUUGGAGAUCUCAUUGUCUUCACCACUGCCGCUGCCAGACACCACGUGGCCUUCCUAAGAGCGGUGUCCAAGUCGGAAUGGCUUCAUUAGGGACCCACUUCGCUCGGGUCCAUUAGAAGGUAUGAUGAGUUGUGCACGCCAUUGAAUUCUGAUCAUGUAGUAGGGGCGGCACCUUCCAUGAUUCUUCCUCCAAUCGAUGUUCAGUGGGUUUGAAAUUGACACACCUUGAACACUAUCAGUCACUGGCAAUAUUGUGAGGCGAUGUUCCAGAAAGUUAUUAGAAAACCAGCAAUCACCAUGGCCAUAUGAGCCUUUCCAUGUGCCUGAGGAUGUCAAGGAGCAUUGGAGCCCGCAUCUCUGCCAGAAUCAUUCUUCCCUGGGCCCACCAUUGCAUACUUCUAGUUACAUGGCCACCUUUGGCAUGCAACUUUUUUUUUUUUUAAGCCACGUGUCAUCCUGCUACUUUCCUCAUCCCCUGUUUUUUAAAAAAAAAGAGUUUUCCCAAACUCUAUGUUGUAAAUAACUUUUCAAAUUUCCGGUCUUCAAAUAAUUCCAACUUCCAUAUUUUUUUUCAUCCUUAGAGCAUUUUCUUUAGGUUACCAAGAUCUCAUUUUCAAUAAAAUUUUGCCGCCAUUUUCUUCUCGGUAAGCAAUUUUAACAAUUUUCAUGAUUUUAAAAUGUUCUAAAAUAAACAUGAAUUUAAAUUCCAUAAUUCCAAUUAAUGGAAUUUAAGAAAUUAAUUCAUACAAAAGUAAAGCGGGCUUUGGUGGGGGCCCGACAUAUGGGAUUCUAUGAUCGAUUGAUUGGUUGAUUUGAUUGCUAUUCAUAUCUGAUUUAUUCUACUCUAUGACAUGCUCGAAAUUAUUCCUUAAUUGUGCACUAACCUCACUUCUUGAUAGCGCAUUGAGGAUCGUUGCCCAGGUACAUAUCUACUCACAUUCUAGUCAUUUUAUGUGCAUGCUCUGACUCUCAUACGUGCAUGAUCAUUUUGGGUAUUCAUUGAUUUAUUCAUCAAUUGUCAUGAUUGCUUCAUUUUAUUAGUAGAGACCCGACUUUAAGGACUUAGAGGGGUGCUACGGUCUUUACCGUACCUUCCCGAUAAGUAGCCUGAUCCCCGAACCCGAUCCGAUUUUUCGUAGAUCACCUUUUCCAAAUAAGGAGUCACGCUUAGAGUUUUUCUUUCUUAUUUUGUUUACCCUUUUAAAAAUAAAACAAAAAUAAGUGGCGACUCCAAUUCAUUGCUUUUUAAUAAAUAAAAAUCAUUUUCAAAUAAAAAUCGAGCUUGCCAUUCGAGUGGGAAAUGCAUUGAGCCGAAAUGCGGGGUCCACAAAAUGGCGACUCCACUGGGGACUUUUAGAGGGUCAAGCUUGAACUUAAGAUGAAGCAAACGUGGCGAUUGACGAGUCGAUCAAUGGGUACCUAUUUCUUAAUUGCAUAUUGAGAGUUCCCGAUUCUAUUGGAUGCAUGCUUGGGUAUUUGUUUUUACUUGGGGCAUUGACAUGAUUGAUUAUGAUGAUUGUUUAUCUUGAUUAAGGAUUCUGAUUGUGGCAUUUUUUUUCCUGUGAUUCAUUGAUAUAUUUGUUUGAGACAUUGAUAUGCUGAUUAUAUUGAUCGAUUAUCUUGCCUUGCUUAGCAUAAUGACUCUGAUUUUGCCAUGUUUGUUCUGAUCACCUCACAUGUAUAGACUCACCAUUGUAUAUCAUUUGAUUUGACAUGAUUGUUUCUUUUUGUUGUACAUUAUCUUGACCAUCAUGGAGCAUGCUAUCAUUUGCCAGAUAUUCUUCUCGAUUAGCUUGUGUGUAGAUUUGGAUGAUAUAUACCUGUUUUGCAUGACUGUCUGUUGCAUGACUCCUCUCAUUUUGAUGUGACUGCAUGAGUUGUUUGUCUAUGUGGGACACGCACCUAUCCUCUUAUCUCCAAGUCCCUAGUCUCGGUCGACCUCGUUUUCUGGAGUCUCGUAUUUGAUACGAGACUUGUUGCUUUGUUUGCUCUUCGACCGAGCUAGUGACCAGGAAUAGGGUCUAGCAACGGGCUAUAUCUAUGUUUGGGAGCAUUCUGGAGGUGGUCGACAUAUUGAUGCAGAUUAGAGUCCGAACUUUGAAGACUUGUAUAGCCCCAAGCUAGGUUUCAUGGAUAGUUGUGCGACCAGUGUGUUUCCUCUUCUGCUUUAGAUUCCUAGGGUUUUCGGAUGCACCCACACCGCUCACUGUGCACUUUAGUUGACUAUUGAGUGUUGAGAGUUUGAGAGGUUUCACUGUAGGAUCCCCCUGGGAUGUCGAGGUAGUGCAUGUGUGGAGAUGAUGACCACCUUGCAUGGAAGCGCCCCGUCUCUUUGGAGGUGUGCAGAGGGUUGUGUAUCGUCGGAGGGUACGAUCGCUUCUGCUAGGGAUCUUUUAAAGUUCACCCAUAUCCAUUUAGAGCCACCAUGACCUCGUAGGUUGAGCCAUAGAUCCUUCGAUUAGGACUCCCUCCCUACACGUGGGUGCAUCUGAGGGCCUUCAGAGCCUCUUUAGUUACAGUUCGGAUCCAGCACUCCCUCUUUUUAGUCUCCAGUUGAGAGUGCUCGGAGAUUGGUAUGAGUUUGAGUAUCGGUUGGAUCACCUUUGUCCUAUCACUUUAGUUUGUUCUUUUCACUCAAUGAGUUUGUCAUGCUUUCUCCCUAGGGCUUUCGUCUUUCUUUCUUGGUUUGACACAUCCAUUCACUUUGUUGACACUCACUCGAUGCUUUGGGAUAUGUUCAUCGAUCAUGAUCAUCUUUUCACACUGUACACCUAUCACGAGCUCGAUACCUCAUUAUUUGUUUGAUCCUUGAUUCAAUUUUCGACUCGAUGCUCAUAUUUUCAUUACGGAAAGGUGAAAGGCACGUUUUCAUAUUCACACUUUUUUCGAGAGAGUUGCCUUGAUCACCUUACCAUUUUUUCUCUUAUGGAGCUCGAGUUGAAGGUUGAUUCAAGGAUAUGUGGUUAUAGAUGGAGUAUUGAUCUCGUGAUAGUGUGUUUUUCACACCUCUUUUAUCUCGGAUUAUUGAUGGAGAUUCUUUAGUCACAUUUGUAGCCAUCUCACAGUGGACACCUUUAUGACUCCAAAGUUCUCGUCAUAUAUCCAGAUUUCUGAUCGCCACCUCAUGACCAUCUGUUUGUAUGUUGUAUUGUCAUCUUUUAGAGUUUUAUCUCGUGUCCUUCAUCCAUCUUGUUUGCAUUGUAGGGAGUCAGUUUAGGAGUCGGUUGAGUCUGGAGUCACAUGCUUGGAGGAGAGUUGGAGGACGAUUGAUCAGAGCAGAUUCAUAUCCGAGUUUAGACAGUUCAGUUGGAAUGUCAGAUGAGCUAGCUUCCACACUUGCUUCCAUUCAGGAGUUCAUGGCCGGAGUCAGUAGACGCUUGGAUCAGAUAGAGAGUUCUCGUCAGGAUCCUCAUCUGGCUGGCAUGGUCACCGACGAGACGAUUCCUCAUGCAUCUCAGACAGCACAAACUCAUCCACCUGGGUUUUCACUUGGUACUCCAUUCCAUCUGGUAGAUCAUUAUGAGACCAUUCCACCACCUACUGUCACAGUGCCGCCUCCCAUGGUUCCUACUAUUGAGGAUACUCGAUUGGCCGAGCAGAAGGCCAAGGUUAAGAGGCUUGAGUCCAUGAUGAGACAGAUCAGGUUGCAGGACGGAGGUUUGACUUGGGAUGACAGAGAUGGCAUACCGGCGGCUAGCUUGCCCGCUAAGUUUCGCAUGCCAGACAUUGAGCGUUACAAUGGGAUUGGUUGUCCCAAGAUCCACUUGAGGCUAUACAUCACGGUCAUGAGAGCACAUGGGAUAGAUGAUGCGUAGUUGGUGGCCCUCUUUCCUAUGUCACUUAGUGGGGCAGCUCAGAGGUGGCUUGCUUCAGUUGAGCCUUCGAGACUUCGCACCUAGGAUGACGUAGCUCGUGAGUUCCUGACUCAGUUCGCUUUCAGCUCUGACAUUGAUGUACCCAGACGAGAGUUGGAGGCCACUAGGCAGAGGUUAGAUGAGUCUAUUUCUUCCUUUGUCACUCGUUGGAGGGCAAAGGUGGCUGGUAUGAUAGACCGACCUAAGGAGCAGGAUCAGAUUGAUAUGGUUCUUCGGAACCUACAGCCGAGAUUCGCGAGACGUCUUGUGGGCAUCCCGUUUUAGGAUCUUAGGAGUCUAGUUCAGGCAGCUUUCAGUGUUGAGAAGGCCAUCGCUCGAGGAUUAUGGACAGAUACUACCCCUUCCCCUAACAGUAAGGGGAAGAAGCUGAUUGGGCCAUUUGGUAGAUCUGGAGAGGUUGGCGCUAUUAGCUAUCAGCAUCGGAGGACUGCACAUCACUCGCUUUAUAGACCUCCUACAGUCAGAGCUCAUUUCCUUCAUCCGCAGUAUGAGUAUCAGCUAGAUUAUGCUCAGGAGCCUUAUAUUGCUCAGACUAGCAUGCAGCCGCGACCACCACAUCCGAGAGCCGCUACUCACCCGCCACCUAGACCAUAUACACAGAGGCCCGCGAGACAGUUCACUCAAUUGGGCAUGACUUUGAUUAGAGCUUUUGAGAAGCUCAGAGACGCUGGAGUGAUUGUUCCUUUGGCGCCGAGGCCUUUGCCCCAUCCUAUUCCUCCUCAUUUCCGCUUCCAUGAGCAUUGCUUAUAUCAUCAGAUGCAGGGGCAUGAUACUGAGCGUUGUUCAGCACUCCAUCAUGCGAUACAGGAUUUGAUUGAUUCAUGGGUGGUUGACUUGGCUAGGCCAAGUGUGACCACCAAUCCCCUGCCUACACAUUCUACACAUGCAGUUCCUCCUCCUCCUAGUCUUUAGUAGAUUGAUUUGGAUAUUGAGGGUAUUGAUGGCAUAUGGUGUUCUGGGAUCUUCCAGGUUGAAGACUUGUUUCAGUUGACAUGGAUACAUCACUUUGCAGCAGUUCACUUCAGAGCACCUUUUCAUCCUGAUUAUGGUUAUCAUUAGAGUCACUCUCAUUUUGUUGAGUCCAAUUUUUAGUUUGUCAGAGUUGUUUUUAUUUUGUUGAGUCCGAUUUUGGUUUUGGGUCAUUUGUAGUUCAUGUUGAGAGUCCGGUCAUUUGUAGUCCUUUAUCGUUUCACACAUGACGUACUCGUUGGUUCAUUUAGUGAUAUGAUAUUUUAUCUGAGUAUGUGGCAUUUUUCUCGUGAGUGUGUUUUACAUAUCUUGUGUUGAUGUGUGUUAUGUUUUCGAUAUGAGACGUCUUUCACUUAUAUAUCAUGAUCACUUUGGCCUGACCUAUCAUGGAGGAUAUUGAGCCUAUUGACCUAGGAUCAGGAUAUCAACCUAGGGAGUUUAAGACCGUGACCCAUUUCACCUUCUGAUCAGAGCAGUACCAUAUCCAUAUCCAUACCCUGACUCUGUGGCCUCGAUGACCUAUCCAUUUUGAGUUUGACAUGACACCACCCCUUGGUGCCAUUACACGACUUUACUACCCUUGUUCGCCUUAUCAUGCUACAGUACCAUUGCCUUUCCUUUCCAUUAUUUCCUUGAUCUGACCAGGUAGAGUCCGAGAUGGCUAGACCCGAGGUGAGCUUUACACGAUGAUAGAUGGAUCAUGAUGAGAGAGUGGUUUGACUGCUUGGCGAUAUUGUUGAGAUAGAAGGGUUAUCAUGGAGCAUCCAGAUUUGAGUCAUUGCACAUGACUUCAGAGAGUCGGGAUGAUUAGAGAUGGUGAUUUUAUGAGACGAUGGUGAGUGGCUUAUGAUGAUGGAGUGAGGUGAUUAUCAAAGGACAUUGACGGUUAUCAUAGAGCAUCAGUGGGAGCUUUCGCACGAUUUCAGAGGAGUCGCCAUGACUAUGUUGGAUGAAUGCCAGUCUUUAGUAUUGGCCACGUGAGAUCUCGAAAGCACGAUGUUCGAGGCUUUGGUCGCAGGAUGGGUGGCCAUCAUUUCAUGAGCCUAUUUACUUUAUCACCUUCACAUAUAGAGUUACCCGUUGUUAGCCCUUUGAGCCUCACACGAGCACAUAACCUUUUCUUUCAUCACUUCAUUUACCUAUUACACCGGGUUGGGGACCCUGUAGUGCUUGCAUGCUAUGUUUGGAUACGUCAUGAGUUCUAGCCCUAACAUACAUAUUCGAGCCUCAUUCUUCACUCUUCACUGUGAUAUUUUCCACUUGGACAUCAUUUCAUCACUACUUUUCUUAUAUCACAUAUCACCACUUGUGAUAUUCGUUCUCUGUCUUUUCCUUUCCUCAUUGAUUACUCGACAUUAUCCUUGUUUCACCUUGAGUGGUGGUUUUUCACACGUCACUGCAUGGAGGAUUGUCACAUUCUUUCCUAUCAUUCACCCCAUGGGCAGUGGUUCAGAGAUGUUAUUUUGAGAGGUUGUCUUAUUAGUGAGGAUUCAUGUUACACUCGUAUGUCGAGAGGGUUUGAUCAUUUGGGUAUGUAUUUUCAUGGGAGAUCAUUCAUUAUUGAUCAAGGUAUGCGCAAAAAAAAAAAAAAAAAAAAAACCAAAAAAAAAAAAGAUAGCGCAUUGUUCAUUUUAUUAUUUUCCAUUGGGCAUGUGUAUGGACGUGCUAGUUUGCUUCAUUGGGUUCAUGUGUUAGAGAGAGUUCGUAUGAGAGCUUCUUUCUGAGAUUCUAUCUUGGUGUAUAUUUUGGGUGAGAGUAUGAGUCGCUCAUUCGAUUUUUGUGAGAGAGGCGAGUGACCUUUCUUUAGUAUCUCUGGAUCCUUGCUCUAUCCGUCAUCCUAUCUGUUUUGGAUGUGACUACUUUCCAUGCUUUGAUGCAGGUUGACCAUCACUCACUUUCCUAUCUCUUUACCUUCGUUUAUCUUUGUUUUAUCACUCCAUUUUUACCAUACCUCACCCGAUUUCUUUCUUUUCUCAUCCUUCUUGAUGUUUGACUUGAGUUCAACAUCUACACUUUAUUCUUGCUUAUUCGAUAUGUUCAUCCCUUUAUCAUCACUUUUGGUGUGGGGACCCCUAGAUUCGAGACUCAUGACAUUUUCUAUGCAUUGCAUCUCAUGCACGAGGGGUAUGGAGAUUAUAGCAUUGGGAUCUUUGAGCCUAGUUUCCUUUCAUUUCUUUCACCCUAUUACCUUAGCCUACGUUACGUCCCGUGUUUGAAGACCACCCUGAGGCCAUUACUUUACAUCGUGUUUGGCAGCUCCCAAGUGGGCAAUACUCGAGCUUGGUCGGAGAUUAUUCCUCGGAGCAUGAUGGAUAGGGAGUUGGGAUGAUUAUUUACACUGGGGCAUACCUCUCUUAUCAGUGAUUGGAUUUUCAGAGGCGACGUUAUCUACACUGGGGCAUACCCCACUCAUCAAUGACAUUUUCUUUCAGGAUGAUGCUUGGCACUGAGGCAUAUUCAGUUCGCUUCUUCACUUGGUUUAUGAUGGAUUAGGAGUUCUUGGAUGACCCCACACUGGGGCAUAGCCAUUUUGGAGGACACUUUUAUUGGGGAUACAGUCAUCCCACUCGAUACUCUGCAUUGGGACACACUCUACUCAUCGAUGGUUGAUUUUUGAGAUGACGAUUUAAUUUGAGGCAUAGCCUUUUCAUCGGUGAUGGACUUUGAUUUAUCUCGGGGGCAUAGUCGCUCUAUUGGAUCCUGUACACUGGGGCAUAUCCAUCUUUUGGAGGGAGAUCAGAUUGACUCUUGAUAUUGGAGCAUCUACAAGAUGAUAUGGAUCAUUGGAUUAUUUCAUGUUGUCCUCAUUGCAUACUGGGGCAUAGCCACCUUGUUGGAGGUUUUGACAUUGAUGCUUGACUUCUUGUUUGUGAUUGCUGCCUACGAUGGGUUAUGGAGUUAUCGACACCUCGGGCUUAGUCUUCUCGGCAUACUUGGAUGAUCUCGGAUAUCUCCCUACCUUCAUUUCAUACUCAGACAUUUCACCCUUGGUACUUUCAUACUUUCUAUCUUACCAGAGCCUGAUCAUCACCUUCUUUUAUCCUACACAUCCCAUCGUGACACAUGACCUCACCAUUUUCUCGAUUAGGAGAAGAUGUAGAUCAGUCCUCGAUCACCUUGGCUGUGUUGUCAUGCAUCUUUUGGACUUUAGGUCCAACAUCUUUCAUGAUGGCAGGGCCUGACAGAUUGCCGAUUUAUUAGUGAUGAUGCUUUCAUUUUGACAGUUGACAUGAUGAGUGUUGAUUUUUGUUUGCUCUUUGCAUUUCGAGCAUUGGUCAUCAUUGUUUUAUUCAUCAGUUAGUUUUGUAGUGUCAGCAUGUGUCACGAUACAUGGUCCUGUUUGGCUUUACCUAUUUGAGGUUGGACAUUUUCAUUGCAUGAUGGAUGAACAUAUUUCAGAGUACAGUAGUUUUGAGACAUUGUAUAUCUCAGUAUGUUUACUGUCAUACUAGGGCAUACCCCUUCUCCGAGAUCAUCGGACUUUCCACGGCUUUCAUUCACUUUCUGAUCUAGUUGUUGACCCCUGUGAGUUGCAUACUGGGGCAUACCCCCUUUCCUGGGAUCAUCGGGCCUUUCACAGGCUUCAUUAUCUUUCGACCUAGUUGCCGAUCCUCAUGAGUUGUCAUACUGGGGCAUAUCCCCUUUGACCGAGUUUGCUUGCAUCGUUAUCUGGGUUACCCUUUGGCUUUGGGCCAUUUGAUCAGGUCAUUCUUCAUCUUGUCAGUUUGAGUCGGGGCCGCACCUAUAUCGGUCGACCAUCUUCUUGUCAUGACAGUUCCAUUCCUAGAACCGCACCUAUAUCGAUCGGUCAUUCGUCGUGUCAGUCUGAGUCGGGGCCGCACCUAUAUCGAUCGGCCAUCUUCCUAUCGUGUCAGUUCGAGUCGGGACCGCACCUAUAUCGAUCGGUCAUUCGUCGUGUCAAUUUGAGUCGGGGCCGCACCUAUAUCGAUCGACCAUCUUCCUAUCAGUUCAGUUCGAGUCGGGACUGCACCUAUAUCGAUCGGUCAUUCGUCAUGUCAGUUUGAGUCGGGGCCACACCUAUAUCGAUCGGCCAUCUUCCUAUCAGUUCAGUUCGAGUCGGGACCGCACCUAUAUCGAUCGAUCAUUCGUCGUGUCAGUUUGAGUCAGGGCCGCACCUAUAUCGAUCGGCCAUCUUCCUAUCAGUUCAGUUUCUGGGACCACACCUAUAUCGAUCGGCCAUCUCCUUAUCAUGUCAGUUCAGUUUCUGGGACCGCACCUAUAUUAAUCGGUCAUUAUCGUGUCAGUAUGAGUCGGGGCCGCACCUNNNNNNNNNNNNNNNNNNNNNNNNNNNNNNNNNNUAUAUCGAUCGCCCAUCUCCUUAUCAUGUCAAUCAGGUUUUAGGGUCGCACCUAUAUCGAUAGGUCAUUCGCCGUGUCAGUUUGAGUCGGGGCUGCACCUAUAUCGAUCGACCAUCUUCCUAUCAGUUCAGUUCGAGUUGGGACCGCAUCUAUAUCGAUCGGUCAUUCGUCGUGUCAGUUUGAGUCGGGGCCGCACCUAUAUCGAUCGGUCAUCUUCCUAUCAGUUCAGUUCGAGUCGGGACCGCACCUAUAUCGAUCGGUCAUUAUCGUGUCAGUUUGAGUUGGGGCCACACCCAUAUCGAUCGGCCAUUUUCCUAUCAGUUUAAUUUCUGGGACCGCACCUAUAUCGAUCGGUCAUUCGUCGUGUCAGUUUGAGUCGGGGCCGCACCUAUAUCGAUCGACCAUCUUCCUAUCACUUCAGUUCGAGUCGGGACCGCACCUAUAUCGAUCGGUCAUUCGUCGUGUCAGUUUGAGUCAGGGCCGCACCUAUAUCGAUCGACCAUCUUCCUAUCGUGUCAAUUUGAGUCGGGGCCGCACCUAUAUCGAUCGACCAUCUUCUUGUCAUGCUAAUUCAGUUUGAGUCGAGGCCGCACCCAUAUCGAUCGGCCAUUUUCCUAUCAGUUUGUGUUUAGUUUGAGUCGGGACCACACCCAUAUAGAUCGGUCAUUCAGUCUUCCUAUCAAGUUAGUUCGACGUCUAGGUCUUUGUUUCAGUAUGACAUUCAGGGUCACAACUCUUAGCAUUCAUAUUCACUGGCAUUACACGUCUCACCUUCAUGGAUUUGCACUUAUUCUCGUUCUUCUCACCUUUUUACCUUAUGCUUAUUGCUUGAUCAUCAUUGCUCUUUUGGGAUUCCCCUUCCACUACACAUGACACAGUCUUUUGAGAUCACGACACGUAUUUCAGUCAUGUUGUUAGGCAUCCUACGCUUGACAUUCUCAUGUAGUUCACAUAGGGUAGUUUCCUUUAGACGCGUUUUGUCCGUACUCUAGGAUGGUUCGACCGUUACUCAUCUUUGACAUCGAUUUUUGAGUCACUUUUGGAGACGUCUUAGAGGGAGCUUGGAUCCCUAGUGUGGCUGCAGAGGCAUUUUGAGACAUCAUUUUGUUUUAGGAUCAGGGCCUUUGUGUUAGUCUGUCAGCUUGAGCGAAUUCGUGUUUUGCUAGUGUCCCUGUGGGGGUCUCCUUUGUUCUUCGGUAGAGUUCACUUCAUUCCACUCACUAUUCACACUUGCUUUUCACUCUAGUGUUCAUGUUCCUUACACUUGUGAACUCUACCGAAGAGGGGCAUAUUUGUAGACCCCCAUUUUGGGGAGCUGUCAUUCUUCUCACGUUUCCUUUCUUGCAGCUAGCUGUGGCCAAGUGUCACCAUCUUGCAUGGCCACAUGUCAAUCCCGGAUUAGUCAAUAUGGGAUCAAAAUAGUGGAAUUGAUGGACCAAUCAGAGGAAGACACCUAGAAAGUGAAGAACAUUCUGGAAUCAGGGGAGCGUAUCUUCUGUUAUGGGAAGGUUGCCAGCUGCAGGGUAGUGGGGAGAGGCAGCUGGGUGAGGUGUCUUGAGUGCUGCGGUUAGAGAUAUUUUGAGGGAAGCUGGAGAGGGAAGGGAGAUUCCUGGAGUUUAGGCUGCUAGAGAGGGGAGGCUAGUGACAGAGGAGCGGCUGGUGACGGGAGAGGGAGGCUUUUGCUAAAAGAGGAGGUUUUUCUGAGGGUCUGGAGUAUCAGACUGGUGAUGGAGGGCGAAACCAGAGAGAAGGAACUGAGAGUUGCAGCCUAAAAACGCCCAGCUAAGGGAGAGAUUAUCAGGUUUGGUUACCAUGUUUUUCACGUAUAUUUUCAUUCUUCAUGCUUUUCUGUUAUCUCUUUUGUUGAUGCUAAGAUGAUAUUUGUUGCUUGGGAGUGAGCAUGUUGAUAUUUUGCUAAUGGUCUUUCUGUAGUUUGAUUUUCUCCUGUUUUGUUUUCUUCAUGAGAUAUUUCCGUAACAGUGUUCUAUCUUUUAUUUGAUACUCGUUUGAUUUCAUCCACCCUCAUAUGAGCUCAUUGACUAUCAUAUGAAAUGAGACAUUGUAUGGGUUUGUUUUGCCCCCAUUAUUGGUGUUUUGUUUGGUUGCUUUCCUCUGUUCCUGGUACUCCGUUCAUGAGGCAUGUCAGUUUCCUCACCUCUGCCUAAGGGAGUAAGGAACGUGUUUUCCGCUUGAAGGAUUACCUAAACCCAACCAAGGGACGUGAGGAUGCUACUUCAGGAUCUGGCAAGGGAUAUUUCGGAUUUAAUAAUUUUACUGUUGAGGCGGCUCUCUCUGUUGACGAUUUGAUAGUGGGAAUUUUGGAGUUUUCGUUGUAAAAAUGAAGGCCCAAUGAGGGGAGUGUGAGAACGUCCUCAGAGGAUUUUUGAACCUCAUCAAUCUGAAGGUGUAUAGUUGUCGUUCAAUAAUGGUGAAACUGGAUAAGUGACUGAGUACCAAGUGAUACUGCACAUUUGUUCAAAGUUGGAGUAUUCUAUGGCUUGCCACAACGAAUUACUUUCUGGUCACGACCGGGAGGGAAACACAGUGUGCAUGAAUGGAUCUUUUAUGAAAGAAGCUUUUCUAUUCAAUGGUGCCCCAGGCAUUGUGGGUAUUUAUUCUGGUUUCACUGGUUUUAGCAUCCCUGAGGCACUGAAACAAGAGAUUGGCAAUUGUAACAGCAAGCUACAAAGAAUAUUCCGAGGUACAGGAUCACAAAACAGUGGAUCCUGGGACAUACUCCUUCAUUGCAACUGGGCUACAAUUCCCUCAUGAUGAAGUUGAUGAUUUACAGAAAUCACAAUCUAUUGGUUCUGUUGACUCUUAUGAACAAUGUGAAACUGAAGAAACAGUUACUAAAUCAAGAGAUGUUGGAACUUCAUAUCCGUGUCAACAGCCAUUACCCAUUCCACCCAUGAUGCCCAUUGUUUCCCUUCAUUACCCCCAUCUGCUACAACUCACUCCCCUGAUCAUACUUAUUUUAUCCCUUUCUAUCACUACCUUCUGCCACUCGUUCAACUAAUCAAUACCCAUGUAUUCAUUAAAUCACUUCUCACUCAUCCCACUCACUACUCGUGCUAGCCAUUUCCUCAAACCGUCCCAUUAAACCCAUUCCUCUCUCCUACCAUUCUCUACCUCCAAUGUCAUGCUCUGUUACAUUCACGAGCAUCUUCUCCCUCCAUUUCCUCUGUGAAACUCACAUCCUCAGAUAGUAUUCUCCGUAUCCAAUACCUCAAAGCAAACCCACCCAUCGAUCAUUCUGGAUGUUCGUCAAAAUCAUUGUCACAUUCUUCAUCUUCAUCUCACAUUUGACUCACCUAUCCAUCACAACAAGUGCCACAGCUGGCCCCAUCACCAAACCAACUUCCCUUAUCGCCUUCCGGGUUGUUAUUAUGUCUGUGAAUUAUCGGCGUGCAUCUGAAAACCCAUACCCUUGUACCUAUGAUGAUGCUGCCACUGCUCACGGUAUUGACAGAGAUAUGAUCAGUGUUGAUGAGAAACACGUGUUACCAAUGCAGGGGAACAAUCCAGAUGAAAGACGGCAGCCACAAUCACCCGCGUUCAGGGCAAACACCGAAUAACUCAUCUGUAGGUAUUUCAGGGAAUUUACAACGUUUUUAAGGGUGCAAUUAUACAAAGAAUGAAUGCUGUUGGAGAUGCAACCAGAUUCGACGUUCUCUACAAGUGACAAAACUGGAGAUCUCAUUGUCUUUACCACUGCCGCUGCCAGACACCACGUGGCCUUCCUAAGAGCGGUGUCCAAGUCGGAAUGGCUUCAUUAGGGACCCACUUCGCUCGGGUCCAUUAGAAGGUAUGAUGAGUUGUGCACGCCAUUGAAUUCUGAUCAUGUAGUAGGGGCGGCACCUUCCAUGAUUCUUCCUCCAAUCGAUGUUCAGUGGGUUUGAAAUUGACACACCUUGAACACUAUCAGUCACUGGCAAUAUUGUGAGGCGAUGUUCCAGAAAGUUAUUAGAAAACCAGCAAUCACCAUGGCCAUAUGAGCCUUUCCAUGUGCCUGAGGAUGUCAAGGAGCAUUGGAGCCCGCAUCUCUGCCAGAAUCAUUCUUCCCUGGGCCCACCAUUGCAUACUUCUAGUUACAUGGCCACCUUUGGCAUGCAACUUUUUUUUUUUUUU
rnacentral:lncRNA from 1 species